rnacentral:pre_miRNA from 1 species
GUGAGAAUUACAGUGCGGUUCUCCUCUGGCACGGAGGUCGAGGGUAGCCGGCGGCAAUCCGGCCAGCGGCGAGGCUGCCAGUCCGUCCCCUUGCCAAAGGAGAAUUGCCCUGCCAUUCAUAA